CCUACGGGAGGCAGCAGUGGGGAAUCUUGCGCAAUGGGCGAAAGCCUGACGCAGCAACGCCGCGUGCGGGAAGAAGGCUUUCGGGCUGUAAACCGCUUUCAGCAGGAACGAAAAUGACGGUACCUGCAGAAGAAGGAGCGGCCAACUAUGUGCCAGCAGCCGCGGUGAUACAUAGGCUUCAAGCGUUGUCCGGAUUUAUUGGGCGUAAAGAGUUCGUAGGCGGUCGAGUAAGUCGGGUGUGAAAAUUCUGGGCUCAACCCAGAGACGCCACCCGAUACUGCUUGACUUGAGUUCGAUAGGGGAGUGGGGAAUUCCUAGUGUAGCGGUGAAAUGCGCAGAUAUUAGGAGGAACACCGGUGGCGAAGGCGCCACUCUGGAUCGAUACUGACGCUGAGGAACGAAAGCAUGGGUAGCAAACAGGAUUAGAUACCCUGGUAGUCCAUGCCGUAAACGGUGGGCACUAGGUGUGGGUUUCUAUUAACGAAAUCCGCGCCGUCGCUAACGCAUUAAGUGCCCCGCCUGGGGAGUACGGUCGCAAGACUAAACUCAAAGNGUAAGUUGACG
rnacentral:rRNA from 1 species